UACGGGGGGGGUAAGCGUUGUUCGGAAUUACUGGGCGUAAAGGGCUCGUAGGCGGCCAACUAAGUCAGACGUGAAAUCCCUCAGCUUAACUGGGGAACUGCGUCUGAUACUGGAUGGCUUGGAUUCGGGAGAGGAAUGCGGAAUUCCAGGUGUAGCGGUGAAAUGCGCAGAUAUCAGGAGGAACACCCGUGGCGAAAGCGGCUCUCUGGGACGGUACUGACGCUGAGACGCGAAAGCGUGGGGAGCAAACAGG
rnacentral:rRNA from 1 species